rnacentral:lncRNA from 1 species
UUCUUGAAAGCAGCGCAGAGGAUUGAGGCGGCCGUCGCUAGGCAAAUGUCCAGGGCCCCCUCUGGGAUGGUGUAAACUUAUUCAGCUUCAAAUGCAGCCCAGUAUCCUGCCCUAAGUUCCAGAGGACCAUUUUCCACAUGAAAAGUCUUACGGAUAGACAAACUUCCAUUCAAGCCAAUGUCAAGUUUUCAUUGCAAGAAAGUAGCAGCCGUGUUUAAGAGUUCGCUCCAAAUGCUCAUCUUCUUCUUCGGCCCUGGAUGUCAGACAAACAGGACAAACAGGAAACAAAAUUAUUUUUCUUCGUGGAGGGCAGAGCAGCACUCCCCCGUCGCCCAGUAUUUGGAUCCCCAGCGGGAAUGGGGAGCACCAGGCCAGUGGGAGGCUGCCCCGGCCCUCCCGCGACCUCUGGAUUGAACUUUCCGCACACUUCUCGGCCCCUCGGCAGGUGGCCCAGCCUCGACCCGACCCCACUGCCCACUCACUGCUUCUCCUGCGCGUCCAGGUCCCUGACGAGCGCAUCGCGCUUGUUCACCAGGGCCACCAGCUCAUCUAGCAGAAGCUGUUCGCGUCGCUUCUGGGCCUCGGUCUUCUGCCAGUCUGCAGAAGACGGGAGGCUAGUUACCCACCGGCAGGGCCUCCGAACACCCGGCCCCCCGCCCUCCCCUUCCCGCCUUUUCCAGUUUCCUUAUAUUUCUCAGCAAACCACAUUAUAGAGCCACUAGCUAGUGUUUUCUGGGGAGUUUGGCUGUUGUGGUGAAGGCUUCCUCGCUAAAAGUCUACUUCCUAAACAGGUCCUGUGAAUGGAGAUGGCUGCAGCAGUGUUGGAACCUGCUUAGAACCAGGUGUGAACUGGUGGCUAGCCUGAGGUGCGCACCUGAAUCCAGCCAAAGUGGGGGAGGGGAGCUAGAGGCCCAGAAGAGGUUGGCCCAGGGGUUGGUAGUGGGGGAAGUGGGUAAAUGAGGAGGCGGGAAACAGUGAUGGGCGAUAAAAUCAUUCUGAAAAGGCUAGAGAAUCUGCCUGAGAACCUAUCCUCCUCCCCCACCCCCACUCUCACCCCAAACAGCCCAUUCUUCGCUAAUUUCCUCUUCGCUCUAUUUUAGCAGUUGGAUGUAUCUCACACUGGGCGCCAUAUGCUUCACAAUAACUUUAAAAGUAGUGAAUCGGCUAAUUAGCAUUUUUCUUUGAAGUAAAAAAUAAAUUUGCUCUGCAAUAUUACACUGC